rnacentral:rRNA from 1 species
CCGUGGGUGUAGGAAUAUUGAGAGGAUCUGUCCCUAGUACGAGAGGACCGGGAUGGACGUACCUCUGGUGGAGCUGUUGUGGCGCCAGCCGCAGUGCAGCGUAGCUAUGUACGGACGGGAUAACCGCUGAAAGCAUCUAAGCGGGAAACCCACCUCAAAACGAGUAUACCCUUGAGAGCCGUGGAAGACCACCACGUUGAUAGGCCGGGUGUGUAAGCGUGGCGACACGUUCAGCUUACCGGU